CAACCAGGGAGAUAUUCGCAUGAUCAGAUUACAUAAAAGUAGCUUACAUAAUCUCACCACUAACGACAUACUCGUAACUAAUUAAGCAUCCUAUGCUUUAUUAACCAAGUAAACAUAACAAAAUGUUCCUAAACAUUAGCCACUACUAUUUUGUAUCAAUCAAUAUGUUGCUCCAUAUAACAUCAUUGUGUCUUUUCACAUAAAAAUCUCAUAUUUCUUAACGAGUACUCCAUUUGUUCUAGCUAACAUUAGCUUUGGAAUAGUUGUCGGUGAUUUUUUAGGAUGUACAGUAAAUAUCACACAAAGAUAUACAAAGAUCUCUCACUACUACAAAAAAAAGGCCUAAGGAACUAUUUAUAAGGCACCAUAAAAAUCAUUAAUCCGAUUUCUUAGUUAAGGAAACCUUACACGAGAGAUAUAUGGUUUCUUAUAAGAAAAAUAAGGAACCUUAUAUCACUAAAAUGUGGUUUCUUAGAUUUUAUUUUAAUAUUUAUUUAUAAUAGUGAGAUAUAGCAGGGCUGGAGAUAAGGUACAAAGAACCGAUUGCUCAAGAUAAGUUUGUUUGCAGAUCUGUGACGGCUGGCUUGUGAGAAUCGGAACCGUGAAACUAUCUCUAGCCUCCCUACACGCACCUGAAUCAUCGGGGAUAUUGUUUUAGUUCCUUGAGCAGGCAUACCAAGCCUAGUCCGGCUGCCGACGACACUCAUACUUGAGCAGACUCGUUCGAGCGGUUCACCGAAAGAAUGGCGGCUGAGUUAUAAUUAAUUGAUCAUAUGCAACGCUAAAUCUCGAGUCUCUUUUUCUUUCUUAACUGCUCAAAACCCCAAAAUUACAAUACGGGGAUGCAAUUUAUCCAGCUUUGGUGUUAAUUUGAUUAAUUUCCUAUAUAGUUGUAUGUUUGGGUAUGACUAAUUUCUGUAACUUCGGUAAAUUAUUUUUCCGAUUGCUUCGUUUUUCUUUUUUGGGUUUCUUCGAUUUGUUUGUUCUUUUAUCAAUUAUUUAAAUGAAUUGUUGUUUAAAUCGA